CCUACGGGAGGCAGCAGUGAGGAAUAUUGGACAAUGGGCGCAAGCCUGAUCCAGCCAUGCCGCGUGCAGGAAGACGGUCCUAUGGAUUGUAAACUGCUUUUAUACAGGAAGAAACACCUCUACGUGUAGAGACUUGACGGUACUGUAUGAAUAAGCAUCGGCUAACUCCGUGCCAGCAGCCGCGGUAAUACGGAGGAUGCAAGCGUUAUCCGGAAUCAUUGGGUUUAAAGGGUCCGUAGGCGGUUUAAUAAGUCAGUGGUGAAAGCCCAUCGCUCAACGAUGGAACGGCCAUUGAUACUGUUAAACUUGAAUUAUUAGGAAGUAACUAGAAUAUGUAGUGUAGCGGUGAAAUGCUUAGAGAUUACAUGGAAUACCAAUUGCGAAGGCAGGUUACUACUAAUAUAUUGACGCUGAUGGACGAAAGCGUGGGGAGCGAACAGGAUUAGAUACCCUGGUAGUCCACGCCGUAAACGAUGGAUACUAGCUGUUCGGAGCGAUCUGUAGUGGUCGUAGACGAAGUAGAGUAAGUAUACCACCGUCGGGGUUACGGGUUCGGUCGAGAAGUAGAACGUACGAACGUAGUAAGUUAGUACGGACGUAGAGACGUUAGCCGACGGACGACGACGAGGGAGGAGGGAG
rnacentral:rRNA from 1 species